ensembl:snRNA U6 U6 spliceosomal RNA
AUGCUCACUUCAGCAGCACAUAUAUUAAAAUUGGAACAACACAGAGAUUAGCAAGGCCUCUGUGCAAGGAUGACAUGUAAACUUGUGAAGCAUUCCAUAUUUUA